rnacentral:rRNA from 1 species
GAGAAAGGGACGGGAACGGGAACGGGCUAGGGGAAAGAGUGAGGUUUUAAAGACGGCGGCCAUCGAGAGUAGUCGAACUAAGGAACUAAGGGACGGAACUCGAAACGAGCAGGAGUGGUCGUCGAUGGGGCCGUCGAGCUAAGUGACCACGCCGGUGUCCCACUAGAAGCUGCCGCCGACCAAACAGAGGAGCAUGCUGAGGAGCCAGAGGAGGAUCCGACCAUUUGCCGCUACCUCCCCAUCGUCCCCGGUUCCACAUCGACGCGUUCGCUCCUCCGCUCUAGUAGUUAGACGUGCCCCAACAACGACAGUUAUAGGCACGUCCACUACAAGCGCACCUAAAGCAGAAGGCGUCGACGAAACUAGGUAAAAUCAUACUCCUACCACAUCUGCAAAAGACGGGGAUCUCGCGGCCGGUCUGUGUAGGAGGUGUAGCCGUUGUAAGAAGCUUCAAACUUCACACAACGGGAUGUCGUUCUUUAUUCCUCUUCUGUGUACUUGACCCUUACUAACCUGCGCCCCUCUCUUUUUCCUUUACAAUGGAUGCCUUUCUCAUCAUUUCGAGGUCGGAGAUCCAGUUAUAACCGGACACA